CAAAAGUAAAAAUUAUAAAGUAUAUACGUUUGUAUAGGGAAUCACGGUGAAAAUCCGUGGCUGUGCCGCAACUGUAAAGCCAGAAAACUAUACUGCCCCAUGUAGUAGUAAAUAU
rnacentral:ncRNA from 32 species